rnacentral:rRNA from 1 species
AUGGCCGAAUCACUGCUUCUCCCUUUGGUGCGCGGCGUCGCCAGCAAGGCCGCCGACGCGCUCGUCCAGACCGUGACCCGGAUGUGUGGCCUUGACGACGACCGCGAAACGCUGGAGCGCCAUCUGCUAGCCGUCGAGUGCAAGCUGGCCAGCGCCGAGGAAAGGAGCCAGAGCAAUGCCUACCUCAAGAGCUGGAUGGAGAAGCUCAAGGCCGUCGCCUACGAGGCCGACGACGUCCUCGACGACUUCCAGUAUGAGGCGUUGCGCCGCGAGGUACAGAUCGGCAAGUCCACUUCCCGCAAGGUACUCGGCUACGUCACGCGCCGCAGCUCGCUGCUCUUCCGUUUUGCCAUGAGCAGGAACCUCAAGGGAGUCCUUGAUAAGAUCAAAGAGCUGGUUGAGGAGAUGAACACGUUUGGCCUUGAGAAUUCUGCCAAUCGGCAGAAGCCACUACAUCCUUGGAGGCAGACGCACUACCGACAUCUUUGGAAGAGAUGA